rnacentral:rRNA from 1 species
UUAAAAAGCUCGUAGUUGAACCUUGGGCCUGGCUGGCCGGUCCGUCUCAUCGCGUGUACUGGUCCGGCCGGGCCUUUCCUUCUGGCUAGGCACAUGCCCUUUACUGGGUGUGCGUCCGAACCAGGACUUUUACUUUGAAAAAAUUAGAGUGUUCAAAGCAGGCAUAUGCUCGAAUACAUUAGCAUGGAAUAAUAGAAUAGGACGUGUGGUUCUAUUUUGUUGGUUUCUAGGACCGCCGUAAUGAUUAAUAGGGAUAGUCGGGGG